GACGAACGCUGGCGGCGUGCCUAAUACAUGCAAGUAGAACGCUGAAGAGAGGAGCUUGCUCUUCUUGGAUGAGUUGCGAACGGGUGAGUAACGCGUAGGUAACCUGCCUCGUAGCGGGGGAUAACUAUUGGAAACGAUAGCUAAUACCGCAUAACAAUGGAUGACACAUGUCAUUUAUUUGAAAGGGGCAAUUGCUCCACUACAAGAUGGACCUGCGUUGUAUUAGCUAGUAGGUGAGGUAAUGGCUCACCUAGGCGACGAUACAUAGCCGACCUGAGAGGGUGAUCGGCCACACUGGGACUGAGACACGGCCCAGACUCCUACGGGAGGCAGCAGUAGGGAAUCUUCGGCAAUAGGGGCAACCCUGACCGAGCAACGCCGCGUGAGUGAAGAAGGUUUUCGGAUCGUAAAGCUCUGUUGUAAGUCAAGAACGGGUGUGAGAGUGGAAAGUUCACACUGUGACGGUAGCUUACCAGAAAGGGACGGCUAACUACGUG
rnacentral:rRNA from 1 species